UACGAAGGGGGCUAACGUUGCUCGGAAUUACUGGGCGUAAAGGGCGCGUAGGCGGAUAUCUAAGUUGGGGGUGAAGUCCCGGGGCUCAACCUCGGAAUUGCCUUCAAAACUGGGUAUCUUGAGUUCGGGAGAGGUGAGUGGAACUCCGAGUGUAGAGGUGAAAUUCGUAGAUAUUCGGAAGAACACCAGUGGCGAAGGCGACUCACUGGCCCGAUACUGACGCUGAGGUGCGAAAGCGUGGGGAGCAAACAGG
rnacentral:rRNA from 1 species